rnacentral:lncRNA from 1 species
ACACUCUUCCAAAUAAACCUGCCAGCACCUAGGCGUUCCUGUUUUCUUAGUCUCCUGGCUCUGUACAGGGAAUGGAAGCUACAACUGGGACACUGCAGCCACCACACUUGGCAAGGACCCAGAGUGUGCAACAGCAACCAAAGAAGAAAAAAAUCCACUCAAUCAAGAUGAGACCAGAUACCUACGUCAAGAAACACUUCAAACAUUUGUCUGGAUCCAACUGCAAAAGCAGGAACAUGAACAACCAAGACAACAGGCCUCCUCUGGAAGUCAGCAAUUCUAUUGCCAUAAGCAAUAUUUGGGAAAAGCAGUGUAGCUGAAGCAUGAAACAGGGAAUGGGUGAUUAUUAUUUCCCCAGGAUUAAUGAUGAAAAUUAAAGGCCAUAUGGUUCAAAUAGU